AUUGAACGCUGGCGGCAUGCCUUACACAUGCAAGUCGAACGGUAACAGGUCUUCGGAUGCUGACGAGUGGCGAACGGGUGAGUAAUACAUCGGAACGUGCCUAGUAGUGGGGGAUAACUACUCGAAAGAGUGGCUAAUACCGCAUGAGAUCUACGGAUGAAAGCAGGGGAUCGCAAGACCUUGUGCUACUAGAGCGGCCGAUGGCAGAUUAGGUAGUUGGUGGGAUAAAAGCUUACCAAGGCGACGAUCUGUAGCUGGUCUGAGAGGACGAUCAGCAACACUGGGACUGAGACACGGCCCAGACUCCUACGGGAGGCAGCGAUGGGGAAUUUUGGACAAUGGGCGAAAGCCUGAUCCAGCAAUGCCGCGUGAAGGAUGAAGGCCUUCGGGUUGUAAACUGCUUUUGUACGGAACGAAAAGCCCCGGGUUAAUACCCUGGGGUCAUGACGGUACCGUAAGAAUAAGCACCGGCUAACUACGUGCCAGCAGCCGCGGUAA
rnacentral:rRNA from 1 species